CAUGAAAGGGAUGUGUAAAAGUUUACAUUUACUUUUUAAUCAUUAGUCAAUCCUUUCAUGUUAUAUCACUUUUCAAAUAACAUAAAGCAUAUGUUGCGGUGUGUGGCUGGCAAAAACUAUAGGAUGAGAUAUUCAGUGUACCGCUUUACUGGUUUAGUACAGUUUCAAAAUAUUGAUAAGCAAACUAAACUGUUUGUUAAUGGCGCUCAUAUGAACAAAGUAUAAUCUAACUUAGCAUUUUAGAGUGUGAUGGAAUUGAAACAUGAAUAUCUCAGUCAUUGUGAAUAAACACAAUAAAACAUCACUUGUCCUUCCUACCGUACAGUUUACCUCUCACUUUUUCUCCCUUCUGGCUUGCUACCUAGAGGAAUCUGAGUUCCCAGUGGGUCACCAUGGAUACCGGUAGAGGUUCAGGGCCUGUCUCCAGAGUCGAUGGAGAAGAGAACCAACCCCACUGUGGCUGGAAGGGAGAAACAUCAUGUCUUAACAGGCCUGCCAAGGGACAACCCACAAUCCCCCAGACCCAACAUCCCUGGUGUGGAUCUCUACAUUUGGCUGGCAGGCGAUAAAUCAGAUAAAGAGGAUUUGCAUCAAAGGAGGAACUCUAUCAAGACUUUUGUGACCUUGGCCAAUAAAUUACACUGUGGUAACUGCACGACAAAGUCUUGGCCUUGUGGUGUGUUUU